rnacentral:rRNA from 1 species
CGACCCCAGGACAGGCGAGACACUCGCUU